CCUACGGGUGGCAGCAGUGAGGAAUAUUGGUCAAUGGGCGAGAGCCUGAACCAGCCAAGUCGCGUGAAGGAUGACGGCCCUACGGGUUGUAAACUUCUUUUGUCAGGGAGCAAUUGUGUCCACGCGUGGGCUUAGCGAGAGUACCUGAAGAAAAAGCAUCGGCUAACUCCGUGCCAGCAGCCGCGGUAAUACGGAGGAUGCGAGCGUUAUCCGGAUUUAUGGGGUUUACAGGGUGCGGAGGCGGAAUAUCAAGUCAGCGGUAAAAAUUCGGGGCUAAACCCCGUCGUGCCGUUGAAACUGAUGUUAUUGAGUGGGCGAGAAGUAGGCGGAAUGCGUGGUGUAGCGGUGAAAUGCAUAGAUAUCACGCAGAACUCCGAUUGCGAAGGCAGCAUACCGGCGUCCAACUGACGCUGAAGCACGAAAGCGUGGGGAUCGAACAGGAUUAGAUACCCCAGUAGUC
rnacentral:rRNA from 1 species